rnacentral:rRNA from 1 species
CCAAAGGGGGAAUGGCCUCAGUUACGGCGAGUGAAGCGGCAAAAGCUCAAAUUUGAAAUCUAGCACUUUCAGUGUUCGAGUUGUAAUUUGAAGAAGGUAACUUUGGUUUUGGCUCUUGUCUAUGUUCCUUGGAACAGGACGUCACAGAGGGUGAGAAUCCCGUGCGAUGAGAUGCCCAAUUCCAUGUAAAGUGCUUUCGAAGAGUCGAGUUGUUUGGGAAUGCAGCUCUAAGUGGGUGGUAAAUUCCAUCUAAAGCUAAAUAUUGGCGAGAGACCGAUAGCGAACAAGUACAGUGAUGGAAAGAUGAAAAGAACUUUGAAAAGAGAGUGAAAAAGUACGUGAAAUUGUUGAAAGGGAAGGGCUUGAGAUCAGACUUGGUAUUUUGCGUUCCCUUCCUUUUUGGUUGGGUUCCUCGCAGUUUACUGGGCCAGCAUCGGUUUGGAUGGUAGGAUAAUGACAUUGGAAUGUAGCUUUACUUCGGUGAAGUGUUAUAGACUUUGUUGAUACUGCCUAUCUAGACCGAGGACUGCGUCUUUGACUAGGAUGCUGGCGUAAUGAUCUUAAGCCGCCCGUCUUAAAACCCGGGGCCAAAAAAAACAAAAGAAAAAUUAAAUUUUUUUUUUUUAUUGGGUGGUUAAGUGGUGAGGGGGGGCGGUUUUUGGUUGUUUGGGGGGGUUGGGGUUG